rnacentral:rRNA from 1 species
GAUGAACGCUGGCGGCGUGCCUAAUACAUGCAAGUCGAGCGAACGGACGAGAAGCUUGCUUCUCUGAUGUUAGCGGCGGACGGGUGAGUAACACGUGGAUAACCUACCUAUAAGACUGGGAUAACUUCGGGAAACCGGAGCUAAUACCGGAUAAUAUUUUGAACCGCAUGGUUCAAAAGUGAAAGACGGUCUUGCUGUCACUUAUAGAUGGAUCCGCGCUGCAUUAGCUAGUUGGUAAGGUAACGGCUUACCAAGGCAACGAUGCAUAGCCGACCUGAGAGGGUGAUCGGCCACACUGGAACUGAGACACGGUCCAGACUCCUACGGGAGGCAGCAGUAGGGAAUCUUCCGCAAUGGGCGAAAGCCUGACGGAGCAACGCCGCGUGAGUGAUGAAGGUCUUCGGAUCGUAAAACUCUGUUAUUAGGGAAGAACAUAUGUGUAAGUAACUGUGCACAUCUUGACGGUACCUAAUCAGAAAGCCACGGCUAACUACGUGCCAGCAGCCGCGGUAAUACGUAGGUGGCAAGCGUUAUCUGGAAUUAUUGGGCGUAAAGCGCGCGUAGGCGGUUUUUUAAGUCUGAUGUGAAAGCCCACGGCUCAACCGUGGAGGGUCAUUGGAAACUGGAAAACUUGAGUGCAGAAGAGGAAAGUGGAAUUCCAUGUGUAGCGGUGAAAUGCGCAGAGAUAUGGAGGAACACCAGUGGCGAAGGCGACUUUCUGGUCUGUAACUGACGCUGACGUGCGAAAGCGUGGGGAUCAAACAGGAUUAGAUACCCUGGUAGUCCACGCCGUAAACGAUGAGUGCUAAGUGUUAGGGGGUUUCCGCCCCUUAGUGCUGCAGCUAACGCAUUAAGCACUCCGCCUGGGGAGUACGACCGCAAGGUUGAAACUCAAAGGAAUUGACGGGGACCCGCACAAGCGGUGGAGCAUGUGGUUUAAUUCGAAGCAACGCGAAGAACCUUACCAAAUCUUGACAUCCUUUGACAACUCUAGAGAUAGAGCUUUCCCCUUCGGGGGACAAAGUGACAGGUGGUGCAUGGUUGUCGUCAGCUCGUGUCGUGAGAUGUUGGGUUAAGUCCCGCAACGAGCGCAACCCUUAAGCUUAGUUGCCAUCAUUAAGUUGGGCACUCUAAGUUGACUGCCGGUGACAAACCGGAGGAAGGUGGGGAUGACGUCAAAUCAUCAUGCCCCUUAUGAUUUGGGCUACACACGUGCUACAAUGGACAAUACAAAGGGCAGCGAAACCGUGAGGUCAAGCAAAUCCCAUAAAGUUGUUCUCAGUUCGGAUUGUAGUCUGCAACUCGACUACAUGAAGCUGGAAUCGCUAGUAAUCGUAGAUCAGCAUGCUACGGUGAAUACGUUCCCGGGUCU